UACGUAGGGACCGAGCGUUAUCCGGAAUUAUUGGGCGUAAAGCGCGUGUAGGCGGUCCGUUAGGUCGGCUGUGAAAUCUCAGGGCUUAACCCUGAAGCUGCAGUCGAUACUGGCGGACUUGAGGUAGGUAGAGGAGAGUGGAAUUCCCGGUGUAGCGGUGGAAUGCGCAGAUAUCGGGAGGAACACCAAUGGCGAAGGCAGCUCUCUGGGCCUUACCUGACGCUGAGACGCGAGAGCGUGGGUAGCAAACAGG
rnacentral:rRNA from 1 species